rnacentral:rRNA from 1 species
UACGGGGGGAGCAAGCGUUGUUCGGAUUUACUGGGCGUAAAGGGCGCGUAGGCGGCGUGACAAGUCACUUGUGAAAUCUCCGGGCUUAACCCGGAGCGGCCAAGUGAUAUUGUCGUGCUAGAGUGCGGAAGGGGCUACUGGAAUUCUCGGUGUAGCGGUGAAAUGCGCAGAUAUCGGGAGGAACACCUAUGGCGAAGGCAGCUUGCUGGGACGGUACUGACGCUGAGACGCGAAAGCGUGGGGAGCAAACAGG